rnacentral:rRNA from 1 species
AACGCUGGCGGCAUGCUUAACACAUGCAAGUUGAACGAAGGCCCGGGGCUUGCCCCGGUCACCUUAGUGGCGGACGGGUGAGUAACGCGUGGGAACCUGCCCAGGGGCGGGGAAUAACCAUUGGAAACGAUGGCUAAUACCGCAUACGUCCUCAGGGAGAAAGGCUUCGGCCACCCUUGGAUGGUCCCGCGUCUGAUUAGCUUGUUGGUGAGGUAACGGCUCACCAAGGCGACGAUCAGUAGCUGGUCGGAGAGGAUGAUCAGCCACACUGGGACUGAGACACGGCCCAGACUCCUACGGGAGGCAGCAGUGGGGAAUAUUGGACAAUGGGCGAAAGCCUGAUCCAGCAAUGCCGCGUGAGUGAAGAAGGCCUUAGGGUUGUAAAACUCUUUCGCCGGUGAAGAUGAUGACUGUAGCCGGUAAAGAAGCCCCGGCUAACUCCGUGCCAGCAGCCGCGGUAAUACGGAGGGGGCUAGCGUUGUUCGGAUUUACUGGGCGUAAAGCGCGCGUAGGCG